UGGCGGCGUGCCUAAUACAUGCAAGUCGCACGAAUGGUGGAGGGCUUGCUCUUCACCGUUAGUGGCGGACGGGUGCGUAACACGUGAGCAACCUGCCUUCCGGUGGGGGAUAGCCGGCCUAACGACCGGGUAAUACCGCGUACGACUUCGGGCUCGCAUGGGUCUGGAGUGAAAGCGGGCGCAAGCUCGCGCCGGAAGAGGGGCUCGCGGCCUAUCAGCUUGUUGGUGAGGUAACGGCUCACCAAGGCGACGACGGGUAGCUGGUCUGAGAGGAUGAUCAGCCACAUUGGGACUGAGAUACGGCCCAGACUCCUACGGGAGGCAGCAGUGGGGAAUAUUGCGCAAUGGCCGCAAGGCUGACGCAGCGACGCCGUGUGUGGGAUGAAGGCCUUCGGGUUGUAAACCACUGUCAGGGGGGACGAAUACCCGGCUUCGAAUAGGAGACCGGGGGUGACGGUACCCCCAGAGGAAGCACCGGCUAACUCCGUGCCAGCAGCCGCGGUAAUACGGAGGGUGCAAGCGUUGUCCGGAAUCACUGGGCGUAAAGCGCGCGUAGGCGGCUGUUUAAGUCACUUGUGAAAUCCCGGGGCUCAACUCCGGGCGUGCAGGUGAUACUGGAUGGCUCGAGCUCGGUAGAGGCGAGUGGAAUUCCCGGUGUAGCGGUGGAAUGCGUAGAUAUCGGGAAGAACACCAGUGGCGAAGGCGGCUCGCUGGGCCGUAGCUGACGCUGAGGCGCGAAAGCGUGGGGAGCAAACAGGAUUAGAUACCCUGGUAGUCCACGCCGUAAACGAUGGGUACUAGGCGUCGGGGGGAGCGACCCCCUCGGUGCCGCAGCUAACGCAUUAAGUACCCCGCCUGGGGAGUACGGGCCGCAAGGCUGACACUCAAGGAAUUGACGGGGGGCCCGCACACGCGGUGGACCAUGUGGUUUAAUUCGAUGCAUACGCGAAGAACCCUUACCUGGGCGUGACAUGCACGUGCAUAGCCGGUGGGAAACAUCAGUCCCUCUUCCGAGCUACGUGCACAGGUGCUGCAUGGCUGUCGUCAUCUCGAUGAUCAA
rnacentral:rRNA from 1 species